rnacentral:rRNA from 1 species
CUACGGGGCGCUGCAGUGGGGAAUAUUGCACAAUGGGCGCAAGCCUGAUGCAGCCAUGCCGCGUGUAUGAAGAAGGCCUUCGGGUUGUAAAGUACUUUCAGCGGGGAGGAAGGGAGUAAAGUUAAUACCUUUGCUCAUUGACGUUACCCGCAGAAGAAGCACCGGCUAACUCCGUGCCAGCAGCCGCGGUAAUACGGAGUGUGCAAGCGUUAAUCGGAAUUACUGGGCGUAAAGCGCACGCAGGCGGUUUGUUAAGUCAGAUGUGAAAUCCCCGGGCGCAACCUGGGAACUGCAUCUGAUACUGGCAAGCUUGAGUCUCGUAGAGGGGGGUAGAAUUCCAGGUGUAGCGGUGAAAUGCGUAGAGAUCUGGAGGAAUACCGGUGGCGAAGGCGGCCCCCUGGACGAAGACUGACGCUCAGGUGCGAAAGCGUGGGGAGCAAACAGGAUUAGAUACCCCGGUAGUC